GUGGGGAAUAUUGGGCAAUGGGCGAAAGCCUGACCCAGCAACGCCGCGUGAAGGAAGAAGGCUCUCGGGUUGUAAACUUCUUUUAAGAGGGACGAAACAAAUGACGGUACCUCUUGAAUAAGCCACGGCUAACUACGUGCCAGCAGCCGCGGUAAUACGUAGGUGGCAAGCGUUAUCCGGAAUUACUGGGUGUAAAGGGCGUGUAGGCGGGACUGCAAGUCAGAUGUGAAAACCAUGGGCUCAACCUAUGGCCUGCAUUUGAAACUGUGGUUCUUGAGUGAUGGAGAGGCAGGCGGAAUUCCCUGUGUAGCGGUGAAAUGCGUAGAUAUAGGGAGGAACACCAGUGGCGAAGGCGGCCUGCUGGACAUUAACUGACGCUGAGGCGCGAAAGCGUGGGUAGCAAACAGG
rnacentral:rRNA from 1 species